CUGCUAAAGAGGUGCUGGCCUCCGUGUCAUGGUCCUUUUCAGAUCGUGCUUCUGGAUUUUUGUCGUCUGCAUUUGUCUGGAGUUAUUCCGGUUUUUUCCAUGGACUCGUCUGUAGAUCCGUCUCAAAGGUGAAAUGAUUAUCCUCCAUCUGAGUCCAGGAGAAAGCUGACGUUUGCUGGCGUCACGUGAGAAACGUAAUGUGUUUAAAAAGUAAUCUGUGAGGACAGUAUUUAGGCCAGCAGGUGUUCUCCGCUCCGCUCUCCAGCUCUGGGUGUGAAUUAGAUUCUGCUCCUGCUGCAGCUGCAGAUACGGGACCCGCUCUGUUGUUUGACCCACUUUGACUCGUGCAGAUUCUCACUUUUAUUAACUUGCUAUUUCAAGUCCUGUUGAGGCUGCUCUGUGUCUGCUUGUGUGGUUUGAGUAAUAAAUUAAGUGUCACACAUUAUUUCCUGACGGGAGAGUGUGCUGCUGUCUGCGUAGAGGAUCUCUGCUCCUUCAGUGGAUAUCAUGUUAUCUUCUGCUGCUGCUGUUUUGCUUUAUUUUCUGAUGCUGACAUUUAGAACAUUGAUGGAAGCAGAUACAAAUAAAUACAAGCAAUGCACAUCUUCACAUUCAGUAUAUUUUUAGGCUUCAGCUGCCUCUGGAAUUAAAGCUGCUGAUUGCUUUGUGUUUUUUGUUUUUCAAACCUCAGUUGACAUUUUUUCUCUCUCCUUGGUUGUGGUUACACUGUAAAUCUAUUCAAAGGAGUCGAUUUAAACAAGAUUCUUCUGGUUCAGAAGGGAUUCUCUCUUGUUGUUAAUCACUGAAGAGUUUUCCAAUCAUUUCUAGGCUUCUGAUGUUUCUUGGGUGAAUUUUACCUUCAUUUGUUGAUAUUAAAAAAAAAGAUUUAAAAAAAAAAAAAUCUUGACGUCCCUGUGGACAACCUAAAUUGUUGGUUGUUUCUGUCCAUGUGUCUCCUGUAGCUCCUUUUAUUUUAUUUUUUUCUUUCUUUCUUUUGCCAGAUCACAGUUAAAAAUAAAAAUGCAUUUCUUCACCUGUCUUGCCUGGAAAAGUUAAGGUUAAAUAAAUGAAUAAAAAAAUAAAAAUGGCUUCAUCUUAUUAGGAGCACAGGUUUGUCUUGCAGUUCCAUAGAGGUUUGUGCGGCAACCUCAAAGGACGUCAUGAAAAUGGACUAUUAACGUAUGUACUGUGUAACGUACUAUUGGCCUGUGUGGUGGAAAUGUAUUGUAAAGUAUUUUUAAGGAUACUGUAAGUUACAUGCACUUAUGGAGUACAGGUGAUAUGGUCGUACGUUAUCCUGACCCUGAAGUCCUUGUAAAAUGAAUGUUAAAUAAUGUGUUUUUAUACUUCCAAAUUUUAACUUUUACUGAAAAUGGACGCUGGUGUCAUCUGUGGUGUUAACGUGUGUUGUAUAUAUAUGUAUAUUAUAAGGUUUUAUUUGAACAUACAAUAGAUGUUUUUAUUUUGAAACCUGGACCCGUUUCUGGUUCUGUUCGUUGCCGCGAACUUUGGUACUAAUUGUGGAGAGACAAACAUCAGAUGCAGAGAUGAUGUAAACAUUCAGAUUCAUUAACAUUCUAUUUUUUUGUGUGUCAACGCAGCAGAGCUGAACCACAGACGGACCAGUGGACUCACACUCCAGUUGUUGCCCCGCCGGGAGCUCAGUGUUUCCUCGCCUGGUGAAACCUCAACAGCUUCAAAGGCGUCCCACUGCAGGAGGGGGAGGCUGGGACUUUGUUUUCAGCGCCUGACAUCAAUUAUACAGAGAAAGGCCCCAGAGAGGGAGCUUGAGGUUCCGUCCUGUUUAGGUGACACAGUUUUGUGAGGACAGUCCUGAGGAGCCGCUGGAGGUUCAAGAGACCAUCACUUCAGCAAACGUCUGACAAUGAUCACAUCUGCUAUCAUAGGACGUAUGAUUUGUCUUUGAGGUGACACAUUGUAAAACGUACCUGAUAGUCUGCAGCUCUUCAGUAAUAUUUGUCGAGAAUGGACAUGUGACAAUUCGUAUCAUUGUCAUUUAGUUCCAAAAUACAUAAAAUAAUGUAGCAGAAUAAAUGACCUCAGCUGCUCAGAACUUUAACAUCCUGCUAUUGUGGUCUGGUCUGUGUUUCACUGGAGGAUCAGUGGUAUGAUGUUUUCAAAUGUACAAGUCUGCAUUAUACAUAAAAUACAUCCUCGUUUAGAUGUUUUGAGUAACAUUUACUUAAACAUCAGCAACAUGAUAAAGAAACAAAUUUUAACAAUCCGAUUUUAUGACAGUUUCAAGCCUGCAGGUUAUUGGUUGUUGAUGAAAGCAUAAAUAUUCAGUCAAGACGGUCAUCAACGUUAUCUGUAAAGCUACAUGAAGGGUUAAGAAACACUGUGGGAGCUUUAGAACUUCUAUUUUGCAACUGGGGGUUGUAAGUGUUCUUUUAAAAAAAUACUUUAGUGUACUUUUAGGGAAAGGGGCUCAGUCGAGGUUGAGGCUCAGUUCUGAGGAUGAUGUUGGACGACAGUUUGUGUCAGGAUCGGUAUCAGGUUCUUUUGAUAGCUCAGGCUCCAUCACACCUUACUGUACGCAGCUUUCCUACACAGGCAAAUAUAGACUCUUUACAAAAAAUUAAUGUCUUCAUUUCCAUAAUUCUAUUAAAACAAUACACUUUCCUGUAGAUUCAGGGCCCACUGUUUUAUUGAUUUCAAGUAUGUAUUUGCUUUUUUUUUUUUUUUUUUAACAUAAAUUUUACUUCUAUGUAAUAAAACCCACAAAAUUAGAAUUUCACAGAGUGAAGGUUAAUUUAGGUAUUGAAUAAUAUUAAUUGCAAAGCAUGAGUAUUAUAAACUGAGUGUCACCAAUCUACUAACCCAAAUCACCUGCAGCGGUUCCCCUGGUGACAUUAAACUGGUUCAGUUUGAAUAUGGGAACGACUUCAGACUUGCUAACUAGCCAAAAUACCAUCAUUGAUCCCCUACAUAG